ensembl:snoRNA
UUUCCCAUUUAUUUGCUGCUCUAGUCUCUCUGUGACCGGAGCAGUUAUACGCAUGGGAUAUAACAAUAUUGGGCCACUGUAAAUUGAGAUGAAGUCUGCUUUGUCUCUUCUGCAUGGUCUAGACAUUU